rnacentral:rRNA from 1 species
ACCGGUGCUUGCACUGGUCAAUCUAGUGGCGAACGGGUGAGUAACACGUGGGUAACCUGCCCAUCAGAGGGGGAUAACAUCCGGAAACGGAUGCUAAAACCGCAUAGGUCUUCGAGCCGCAUGGCUUGAAGAGGAAAAGAGGUGCAAGCUUCUGCUGAUGGAUGGACCCGCGGUGCAUUAGCUAGUUGGUGAGGUAACGGCUCACCAAGGCAGUGAUGCAUAGCCGACCUGAGAGGGUGAUCGGCCACAUUGGGACUGAGACACGGCCCAAACUCCUACGGGAGGCAGCAGUAGGGAAUCUUCCGCAAUGGACGCAAGUCUGACGGAGCAACGCCGCGUGAGUGAAGAAGGUUUUCGGAUCGUAAAACUCUGUUGUUAGAGAAGAACAAGUGCUAGAGUAACUGUUAGCGCCUUGACGGUAUCCAACCAGAAAGCCACGGCUAACUACGUGCCAGCAGCCGCGGUAAUACGUAGGUGGCAAGCGUUGUCCGGAUUUAUUGGGCGUAAAGCGAGCGCAGGCGGUUCCUUAAGUCUGAUGUGAAAGCCCCCGGCUCAACCGGGGAGGGUCAUUGGAAACUGGGGAACUUGAGUGCAGAAGAGGAGAGUGGAAUUCCAUGUGUAGCGGUGAAAUGCGUAGAUAUAUGGAGGAACACCAGUGGCGAAGGCGACUCUCUGGUCUGUAACUGACGCUGAGGCUCGAAAGCGUGGGUAGCAAACAGG